AUUCAUCACCGUCUUUCUUGAAUUUGGAUGUUUUGGUGCAAACAUAUGGAGCAGUUUAUUCCCAAAAGGGUCAACUCGUCAAUAAUGGACACUAUGUACGAAUUACUCCUUGCUUGAAUGUUGUGUACGGACUCCUGUUGACAUGUGUUACGCUGGACAAUUCAACCUACUGCAUUCUACAGGAGCUCGAGUUGCAGCAAGUUAUGGGUUUCACCGUACACAAUGAGCAAGACUGUCCCUUGUUAACUUUGACAAAAACAUUGUGUUGUUCCAUCUAGUGCUGUUAUUACACAUUAUUUCAGUGAUUUAUCAAUGUACUAGCACUUGUAACAUUACUACGCAGCCUUUCACAAUCGAACGAGAACGAGAGCAACUUAGUAAUGAAAAACUUGUUCAUUAUCAUGAUUUUUCUAAUGAUAUGUACUGUUUGAAUGUCUUCUGUAUGAAUCAGUAAUUUUUAUAAGUUAGCUAUUUUAAAUGCUGUCAACACAUCAUUG